UACGGAGGGUGCAAGCGUCAAUCGGAAUUACUGGGCGUAAAGCGCACGCAGGCAGUCUGUCAAGUCAGAUGUGAAAUCCCGGGGCUCAACCCCGGAACUGCCUUUGAUACUGGGUAUCUGGAGUAUGGAAGAGGUGAGUGGGAUUCCGAGUGUAGAGGUGAAAUUCGUAGAUAUUCGGAGGAACACCAGUGGCGAAGGCGGCUCACUGGUCCAUUACUGACGCUGAGGUGCGUAAGCGUGGGGAGCGAACAGG
rnacentral:rRNA from 1 species